UACAGAGGGUGCGAGCGUUAAUCGGAAUUACUGGGCGUAAAGCGCGCGUAGGCGGCUUUGCAAGUCGGAUGUGAAAUCCCCAGGCUUAACCUGGGAACUGCAUUCGAUACUGGCAGGCUAGAGUAUGGUAGAGGGGAGUGGAAUUUCCGGUGUAGCGGUGAAAUGCGUAGAUAUCGGAAGGAACACCAGUGGCGAAGGCGACUCCCUGGGCCAAUACUGACACUGAGGCGCGAAAGCGUGGGGAGCAAACAGG
rnacentral:rRNA from 1 species